CUCUCUCUCUCUCUCUCUCUCUCUCUCUCUCUCUCUCCUAGUAGCUCUUUGAUUCGAUCUGAUAAAUAUAUCAUGGAAGGAACAACUGCGAUGGUUGACCAGACGUACGAGUUCUUGGCUCCUGUGAUGGUUCGAUGGAAGACGUACAACUGCUACUCCUUUGAUCACACAGCAGUUCCAAGGGACAAAAACAAAACGCCUAAGCAGAUAGAAGAAAACAAGGAGAACAUUCCUCCUCCUAACCACCACUGCAGUCAUCUCAUGAACCGUAAGAAGCAGCAAACUGCUAGAAAGAUAGCUGAGGAAUCCAUCUGCAGUUUGGCCUAAAGGAACUAAUCAGAAAAUUGUGAAAAAGUCGUUUUGUUAUGCCUCCUUGCAGGGAAACGAGUCCCCAGAACAUAGCUCUGGCACUACCACUCUGAUGAUGGAAAAUCAAAAAGCAAAAGCUAGAUGAUGGAGAAUCAAGACAGAUACUAAAUCCAAAACCAACAACUCCUGCUCCCGUUAACACCCGUUUCAACCUAUGCCCUUUAGUCACUCCGAAGGAGAACAGAAAGGUUUAUUUAUGUCCGUGAGCAAGAAGAGCAGGCGAGACUUGUCAUGCCAACACUUGUCUUCCACAGGGGACAUAGGUUUACGGAUCAGGAAGUUGAGCCAGAUGCUUGUGUUGCGGUGAAGGAUUGGUGGUUCAACACUGGAUUCCACCUUGCAUAUGAUAUACAAUCCAUUUCUUUCACCUCUUCCAUUCCAUUCAUAUGAAGAGACCAUUGAAAAAUCUUGAGGUUGCUCACUUGCUCAUCAGCAAACAUUUACAGACUCAUGUAGACUCUGUAAACCAAGGUGGUAAAACUACAUCCAUGUGCACGACGAAAGACAGUUGUUGCCGAGCACUCCGUGCCAAGCUAUCCGCCCUUUUGUUCUCCGUCCUAGGAACAUGAACAAUUUCUGAGUUGACAAAACUUUGUCGCAAAGUCUUGAUAUCUUCCAGGUAGCUUUCAAAUGCUGGCCAUUCCUCUGGUUCCGAAACCAUCUUCACCAGUUGAGAACAAUCCGUUGCAAACGUAACCUGAAACUGCCUUAAAUUUCGCAUACAUUCCAUCGCCCAAAUCAAUGCCUCCAUCUCCGAAUGAAGAGGUGAGAGGGAUGCCCUUACAUUUCGUGCUCCCAAUAAGCCAUCAAACCCUGGCAGCGUGCUAUGCCAUCCUU